GAAGAUAUCGGACCCUCUUUCCCCACCUACCACCACUUCUUCCUUCAGAAGUUGGAACAGCGAAAUGAGUAGCAAAUUCCUCAUCACUCAUCAACACCACUAUACUUUCCCCAUCCCACACCAUGGAAUUCGCCCUCGCCCCUAACCGAUCACUCCGUUACUCUCCCUUCCAAAACCCUAAACCACCACCACCACCACCAGCCUUCAACCCCCAACGCCCAUCCAACGCCAAGCUCUUCCUCCCCCACAAUUGCCUCAACCGAUUACCUUCUCCGCGAAUCCAUGGCGCAAGCAGAAUCGGCACUCGAGUACCGGUUCGAGCCGGGGGUUCUGCGAGACAUGCUCAGUCGUUCUCGAGCAGCUCGUUUAGUGGAGCAGGCGAUAGAGAAGAAGAAGAAGAAGCAGCAGCGGCGAGGGAACCGAGUUUUGUCGAGUUUAUUACCUCGGAGAGGGUUAAGGUGGUGGCGAUGAUAGCCUUGGCUCUGGCGCUCUGUAAUGCGGACCGGGUCGUUAUGUCGGUGGCCAUAGUUCCUCUCUCCAUCGCCAACGGCUGGCGCCAGUCUUUCGCCGGCGUUGUCCAGUCAUCAUUUCUUUGGGGAUACCUGAUAUCACCAAUAGCUGGGGGCACGCUUGUGGACUAUUAUGGUGGUAAGGUAGUCAUGGCAUGGGGUGUGGCUUUAUGGUCACUGGCCACCCUCCUUACUCCUUGGGCUGCUGAAACUUCUAUAUGGGCAUUACUUGCUAUGCGAGUCUUGCUUGGCAUGGCAGAAGGCGUGGCUCUUCCUUGCAUGAACAAUAUGAUUGCAAGAUGGUUUCCUCAAACAGAACGAUCAAGGGCUGUUGGUCUUGCAAUGGCUGGAUUUCAGCUUGGAAGCGCUGUUGGACUCACACUUUCUCCAAUCCUUAUGUCACAGGGUGGUUUAUUUGGACCAUUUGUGAUAUUUGGAUUAUCUGGAUUUCUGUGGGUUUUGGUGUGGAUAUCAGCAACUUCAAGCACUCCUGAUCGAAGUCAUCAAAUAUCAAGAUAUGAGUUGAAGUACAUACAAAGCCAAAGCAGGAGGCAACAGUCCUCUGUGAUUCAAAAUAAAUCGAAGACUGCGAAAGUGAUCCCUCCUUUUAGGCGCUUGCUUUCUAAGCUGCCAACAUGGUCUGUAAUUGUGGCAAAUGCUAUGCAUAGCUGGGGAUUCUUUGUUAUUCUCUCAUGGAUGCCCAUAUACUUUAAGACGAUAUACCAUGUUGACCUCAGACAAGCAGCAUGGUUUAGUGCUGUUCCGUGGAGUAUGAUGGCAUUUGUAGGCUACUUUGCGGGUGUUUUAUCAGACAUGUUAAUACAAAGGGGCAUCACCGUCACUUUAACUCGCAAAAUAAUGCAGUCGAUUGGUUUUGUUGGUCCUGGGAUUGCUCUCAUUGGUCUAACUAUGGCAAAACGUCCAUCUAUGGCAUCUGCUUGGCUAACUUUAGCUGUUGGGCUAAAGUCAUUUAGUCAUUGUGGGUUUCUUGUGAACCUUCAGGAAAUUGCUCCACAGUAUUCUGGUGUUCUCCACGGUAUGUCAAAUACUGCUGGGACAUUUGCUGCUAUCGUGGGAACGGUUGGGGCUGGUUUCUUCGUCGAAUUAGUGGGCUCUUUCCAGGGCUUUCUACUGUUGACAUCGUUUUUGUACAUUUGUGCUGCUCUAUUUUGGAAUGCUUUUUCUACAGGGGAGAGAGUGAAUUUUGACGGAACUGAGUAGAUCUGGGCUAUUAUAACUUUCAGGAAUGGGGAACAAGAAGGCGACUUACAUAAAUGCAACUUUUAGUUGAAAAGUUGAAACUCGGAACCUCCUAGAAGGUAAUGCAAAGACUCAAGGAAGGAGAUGCCUGAGUGGCAGUGAAUCCUAGACUACAAAGAAGCCCAGCGUCGAUCACGGUUGCAGAGAAAGGUUCUCAAACUGGCUUGACAACGCCUUACGCCUCAAGGCAAUUGAGAGACUCUGCAUGGUGGAAUACGGUCAUUAUUGGAGAGAAAGUUCGAAAAUGAUGUAGGGAGAAGAACCUUUCUUCGUUCUACUUCGUGUUUCGGUUAUUCUUAAAACAUUGACGUCAGAAAUGUUCGCAGUUAUGUGUUUGGAAUUGAAGACAAUGGGCAAUAGUCUCUGGCUGUUUAUAAAAUGUGCUGCACUACGGUCCUAGGUUUUGAAUCAAUGUUAAGCUGGGUUGAAUUGAUGCCUUGACGGUA